rnacentral:rRNA from 1 species
GUCUACGGCCAUUCCACCCUGAGCAAGCCCAAUCUCGUCUGACCUCGGAAGAUAAGCAGAGUCGGGCCUCGUCAGUACUUAGAUGGGAGACCACCUAGGAAGACCAGGUGCUAUAGGUG